UAAGGAGGAUGCGAGCAUUAUCCGGAUUUAUUGGGUUUAAAGGGUGCGUAGACGGGAAUUUAAGUUAGUUGUGAAAUCCCUCGGCUUAACUGAGGAACUGCAACUAAAACUGAAUUUCUUGAGUGCGGGAGAGGAAAGUGGAAUUCCUAGUGUAGCGGUGAAAUGCGUAGAUAUUAGGAGGAACACCAGUGGCGAAGGCGACUUACCAGACUGCGACUGACGCUGAAGCACGAGAGCGUGGGUAGCGAACAGG
rnacentral:rRNA from 1 species